rnacentral:other from 1 species
GCAGAAAGCGUCUAGCCAUGGCGUUAGUAUGAGUGUCGUGCAGCCUCCAGGACCCCCCCUCCCGGGAGAGCCAUAGUGGUCUGCGGAACCGGUGAGUACACCGGAAUUGCCAGGACGACCGGGUCCUUUCUUGGAUAAACCCGCUCAAUGCCUGGAGAUUUGGGCGUGCCCCCGCGAGACUGCUAGCCGAGUAGUGUUGGGUCGCGAAAGGCCUUGUGGUACUGCCUGAUAGGGUGCUUGCGAGUGCCCCGGGAGG